rnacentral:rRNA from 1 species
AUGCUGUUUGUGAGGGGUGCUGACGGCAGGCCGAAGUAUACGGCCGCCGACGCGCUGGCGUUCGUGGCGGCGAGCCUCAGGAAGGGCGGGUGGGGCGGCGGCGGCGGGUGGCGCGGGAGGUGGGCCGCGCUGUUCAGGCGCGGUAAGAGGUCGUCGGACAAGUCGUCGUUGUCGGCGUCAUCGUCCUCGUCGUCGCUCCGGCGGGUGUUCGGCGACGCGACGCUGAGGGACACGGUGGCAUCGCUGCUGGUGCCCUGCUACGACCUGGCCACGGGCGCGCCGUUCCUCUUCUCCCGCGCUGACGCCGUCGAGAGGGACAGCUUCGACUUCCGCCUCUGCGACAUCUGCGCUGCCACCUGCGCCGGCGGCUCGGCCGCAACCGCAGCCCGCUCCGUGGACGGCCCCACGGCCAUCGCUGCGGCGUCUGGUGCCGUGGCAGCCAUGGGCAACCCCGCCGCGGCCAACCCAUAUACCAUGCAUAUGAGAGCAUAA